GACGAACGCUGGCGGCGUGCCUAAUACAUGCAAGUAGGACGCAGUUGCGAACGGGUGAGUAACGCGUAGGUAACUACCUAUUAGAGGGGGAUAACUAUUGGAAACGAUAGCUAAUACCGCAUACUAGUAGAUGGACCUACGUUGUAUUAGCUAGUAGGUAGGGUAAUGGCCUACCUAGGCAACGAGACAUCGCCGACCUGUGGUGGUGCGCGAGCACCCGGGGCCUUAGACACGGCCCCGACCCCCUAGGGCGGCAGCAGGAGGGGAUCUGCGGCCAAGGGGGGAACCCUGGCCGAGCAACGCCGCGUGAGUGAAUAAGGUUUUCGGAUCGUAAAUCUCUGUUGUGAAGGAAGCGGUACUUACCCAUGAAGGGACGGCUAACUACGUGCCAGCAGCCGCGGUAAUAC
rnacentral:rRNA from 1 species